ensembl:lncRNA
UGAAAUUUACUAGCAAUUUCUGAGUGUUUAAAAAAAAAAGUAAAAAUGUAAAAGUAAAGUUUUUUUUUGCCAUUUUAUUUUAUUCUUUUUCAGUGGUCUAUCAUUCUUUUUUUCUGUUGUUACAUUGUAGUGAUAUAUUUUUUAAAGAGGACAAAUUGUGUGGCUGUACUGCUCAGUAAUUUGUAAAAACAAAUAAAAAUAGUCUUAUAAACCAUUAUCCAAAAGAAUUGCCUGAAAAAAUUGUAAUACAAUGUUUUUGUCAUAUCGGCCACUUCCUAACAUACAUAAAAGAAAAACUCUGUGUCUUAUCAAGCUAUAGUGUAUAUAUUUUUUUCCUUCUCAGUUUAUCACUCCUGAACUUUUGGAGAGUUGUAACACCGGCACCACUGCCCAAAAACUGACCAACGACCUUCUCCGUGGACUCUACGAGAGGGAAUGCCUGGCUUCCCACUCCAUAUCUGGAGUCGUGUACAACAAAAGAGGCCAGCCAAAGCCUGCUCUGCCCACCGAAGAGGUCCAGGCAAUCCUGAGAACUGUUCAGUAUUUCUUUCCUGGCAAGACUGACGUAGAGAUCAAGGGCUACAUCCGACAGAAACUGCAAAACGAAGCCAAGAGGCUGAGGAAGAAACCGUCACUCUCAGGCCAAUACGAGUCUAAAGGGCUUAAUCUACCGUUAGAUAUGAUUGACCAAAAUUGACACAUAUGGUCGGUUAGUGGAUAUAAAUUGUAUGUUCUCCAUGAAAUUAGCCUUAUUCAGUGUUACUUACAUUUAAGAGUCGUGGACUCGAGUGAAAUCAAUGUGCAUUGACAAUAGUUCUUGAAGAAAGUCACAAUGAUCUCUUGCGGCAGUCGUUUGGCUGUUGGCGGUUGUGGUGUUACUGAUGUGAAAAUGCAAAUUAGCGAUUCCAGAUAAGUCCAAAUGUUGCAUUCAUGAAGGGUUUUGGCUGAAACGAGCACAGUCGAUGCUUAGCUAUCGAGAUCUUUAGAUAUUAAUGAUGUGUCUCUGUGAACGUCUGUUUUUUUGAUACUUUGUAUUUAACAGAUGUAGGACUUCAGGACGUACCAUUGUGCGAGGUGCGUAAUAGGCUGUGACUAUUAUUUACAUUGUACAUUUUCAAUGUAUUUCUUAUUUGAUGAUGUUCUUUGGUCUAUAUGACAACAGCUUUAUGUAUGUAUUUUUUCGUUAUUAAAUGCUGAAAACGAAGGUGUGCUUACUGGUAUUAGCUUUUAAAUUUUAUUUUUUCUUGUUCAAUAUGGUUUUUAGUUGUUAAUGUGUGACACAAUGAAUUGGACGGUGGAGACUAGAGUUGGUAGGUGUAUUAUUAUCAUGUACAACGCCUUCUCAAUGAGGGCCAUUGAGAACAAUGCAAGCUGCUUGUGGAGAGCUGGUGAGAUGGAGAGAAUCAAUGACUGAGCGACACAGGCAGAGUGACAGCAGCAGGGGUGCUGGGCCAGUUGUCUUGGCAACCUCAGUCUUCUGGGCCACAGCAGUCUGGGUCUUACCCUGGCCAUUGCCUCUGAGCAUCUGCCCACCGCAGGGAUGAGGGGGCUUUUUGACAAACAAAUAAAAGGCAAAAAGCUUUUAGGGCCCA